AACGAACGCUGGCGGCAGGCUUAACACAUGCAAGUCGAGCGCCCCGCAAGGGGAGCGGCAGACGGGUGAGUAACGCGUGGGAAUCUACCCAUCUCUACGGAAUAACGCACGGAAACGUGUGCUAAUACCGUAUACGUCCCUCGGGAGAAAGAUUUAUCGGAGAUGGAUGAGCCCGCGUUGGAUUAGCUAGUUGGUGGGGUAAAGGCCUACCAAGGCGACGAUCCAUAGCUGGUCUGAGAGGAUGAUCAGCCACACUGGGACUGAGACACGGCCCAGACUCCUACGGGAGGCAGCAGUGGGGAAUAUUGGACAAUGGGCGCAAGCCUGAUCCAGCCAUGCCGCGUGAGUGAUGAAGGCCCUAGGGUUGUAAAGCUCUUUCACCGGUGAAGAUAAUGACGGUAACCGGAGAAGAAGCCCCGGCUAACUUCGUGCCAGCCGCCGCAGUAAGAC
rnacentral:rRNA from 1 species